UGGGGAAUUUUGCGCAAUGGGGGAAACCCUGACGCAGCAACGCCGCGUGAGUGAUGAAGGCCAUCGGGUCGUAAAGCUCUGCCAGAGGGGAAGAAAUGCAGGGGUGCUAAUAUCAUCUUUGCUUGACGGUACCCUCAAAGGAAGCACCGGCUAACUCCGUGCCAGCAGCCGCGGUAAUACGGAGGGUGCGAGCGUUGUUCGGAAUUAUUGGGCGUAAAGCGCGUGUAGGCGGUUUGAUAAGUCUGAUGUGAAAGCCCCGGGCUCAACCUGGGAAGUGCAUUGGAAACUGUCAGACUUGAAUACGGGAGAGGGUAGUGGAAGUCCUAGUGUAGGAGUGAAAUCCGUAGAUAUUAGGAGGAACACCGGUGGCGAAGGCGGCUACCUGGACCGAUAUUGACGCUGAGACGCGAAAGCGUGGGGAGCAAACAG
rnacentral:rRNA from 1 species